rnacentral:lncRNA from 1 species
AGACAGAGGGAAGACUGUGUGAGGACACAAUGAGAAGACAGCCGUCUGCAAGCCAAGAAGAGAGGCCUCGGAAGAAACCAACCCUGCCAACACCUUGAUCAUGGACAACUAGCCUCUAGAAUUGUUCUGUUUCUCUGGAGAACCCUGACUAAUAUACAUUCCUAGCCUCCUUCUUACCUCAAGACCUUUGCACCUGCUAGUCCCUCUACUCAGAAUGCUCCUUCUCACCUCCCAUCGUAUCAAAGGUAGCCCCCUUCACAGUAUGAUGCGAAGCUCAGAUGACAGAAAAGAAAUGAUUAAAACAAUUGACUUCACGUAAGUAUGAAAAAAAAAAUCUGCAAGGUAAAAAAAUCACCCUGAACAAAAUCAAGACAAAUGAUACUUUAGAAAAUAAAUUAAGUAAUAAAUAAUGCUUUUUUCAUUGUUUUAAAUUGAGGUAACAUUGGUUUAUAACAUUAUAUAAAUUUCAGGUGUACAUCAUUAUAUUUUGAUUUCUGUGUAGACUACAUCAAGUUCAACAUCCAAAGACUAAUUACCGUCCAUCACCAAACACAUGUGCCCAGUUACCCCUUUUGCCCUCAUCUCUCCCCCAUUCCAAUGUGGUAACCACCAACCCAAUCUCUGUAUCUAUAUGUCGUUUGUUGUUGUUGAUGUUUUUAUCUUCUAUUUAUGAGUGAGAUCAUAUGGUAUUUGGCUUUCUCUGUCUGACUUAUUUCACUUAGCAGAAUACCCUUAAGGUCCAUCCAUGUUGUCACCAGUGGCAAGAUUGCAUCUUUUUUAUAGCUGAGUAGUAUUCCAUUGCCUACAUAUACCACAACAUCUUUGGUGAUUGAUCCCUUGAUGGGCACUUAGGUUGUUUCCAAGUCUUUAUUAUUGUGAAUAAUGUUGUGAUGAAGGUAGGAGCGCAUAUGUCUUUAUGCAUUAGUUUUUCGCAUGUUCUGUGGAUAAAUACCCAGCAGUGGAAUAGCUGGAUCAUAUGGUAGCCCUAUUCUUAUUUUUUUGUGGAAUCUCCAUACGAUUUUCCAUAGUGGCUGCACCAAUUUACAUUCCCACCAGCAGCAUAUGAGAGUUCUGUUUUCUACACAUUCUCUCUAGUGCUUGUUAUUUUUUGUCUUGUUAAUUAUAGUCAUUCUGAUUGGCGUGAGGUGAUAUCUCAUUGUAGUUUUGAUUUGCAUUUCCCUAAUUAGUG